rnacentral:rRNA from 1 species
CUAGCGACUUCAGAGUUUUGAUCCUGGCUCAGGAUGAACGCUAGCGGCAGGCUUAACACAUGCAAGUCGAGGGGUAUAUUUCUUCGGAGAUAGAGACCGGCGCACGGGUGCGUAACGCGUAUGCAAUCUACCUUUCACAGAGGGAUAGCCCAGAGAAAUUUUGGAUUAAUACCUCAUAGUAUAUAGAGUUGGCAUCAACACUAUAUUAAAGUCACAACGGUGAAAGAUGAGCAUGCGUCCCAUUAGCUAGUUGGUAAGGUAACGGCUUACCAAGGCUACGAUGGGUAGGGGUCCUGAGAGGGAGAUCCCCCACACUGGUACUGAGACACGGACCAG